AGCUUAUUUAGUUGGAGUUAUGAUGGCUGGGUAGCCAUCAUAACCACAAGAUAUUAUGCAAGUUUUGCUUGUGCUAGUAUUCACCUGUCAUCACCAAUAACAUCAAUGUCAUCCUUUGGAUAAACAGCAUCCAUCUUUGAUUGGAGAAACUACCGAUCGAGUUACGGAGCUCUUGGUGUGGGUGCAGUCACGAGGACACCCUUAUCCCUGUCUCGUCUAGUGGAUUCAACUAGUCUUCGGAUGGAGCACUUACAGUGGAUGCCUGGCUGUAUUUCCCAGGCUUAAAGGAAGAGAUGGAAGAGGAAGAAUGCUAAUCACCGUGAUUUAUACCAUCCCACCCAGGAAUAUUGGUCAACUUUCGAAUAUAUAUCUUCAAGGGCGAUGACAGUUGGAUGGUAACGGAUUCCAGCGCAACACAAUGCCCAGGAACCCCGGACAACCUGCAAUCAACAAUUCAACAAAUGGGAAAUAAAUGGCGCUAUGAGUAGAUACUAGACACCAAGGACAUACACAUACCCGUGUUCAACGGCCCUAUUACCGCCCGAUAAAAGGGGCUGCCUCUUUUAUAAUAUUAUUUUUCCUUUUUUCUUUUAUAAGCAGUUCUCUCUACUCUCCCCAUCAUCAGCUGUGGGCUAGACAUUCAAGUUAAUCAUCCGAGAUGAAUAAGGGACGACCCGAUAAUAAGAUGAAAGCGGGGAAUAAAUAAAAACCAAAAAAAGUUGACCCACCGCUUCCAGCAGGCCGUGACCAAGUGCUUUGAACCGGGACCACCACCGGCCAUCAUCAGCCCCACUCGGCUGUUGCCUACCACUCGGCUCGGACUUGACCUCCUCCGGUGUCGAGUUGUUCUCCAUCGCGACGGGUAACUUUUGUUUCGGGCAGCGGGGACCAAGGAGAAGAAACAAAACAAGGAAAUAAAAGGCAACACGAAACUUUUAUUCAUGAAGUGUAAAUAAAGAGGCAGGUGACUGUAGACUACUAUAGAGCCCUACUUCCUACCCUACCUACUUCUUUUCUGGUUGGGAAUUGAAAUGGCGACUGGCCAUCGUCCGUCGUUUGAGUAGUAAUAAAGAGUCAAGUCAACGAUAGGACGACGUCGCCCCGACAAGUCGUUAAAGGCGCAGGCCGCAAAUUACCAUAAUGUGAAACUGAAUUGGAUAAGAAAAGUUUCCGCUUAAGUAAUGGACUCUUAGCGUUCAAAAAUUGAUGGCUUUCCACUUGUAACCAGAUAGAGUGGCAUGGCCAUCGCAUGCAAAUGAGGAAAGCCUAUCGCACCGGCGGCUCUCUUUUUCUUUUUUCUUUCACGUUGGAUUUCUUGCCAUGUUUUGAAUAUGUUUAUAUUCUUCCUACAGAUCCCCUAAAUGCUGAUUACCGCUUCGGUUGGUUAUUGGUUGUCGAUGUUUAUUGCUAUACGUACUAUUAUACUCGCCUACGACCAUUAGAUGUAUCAUCAUAAAGAUUUGUAUUUACAGCUCUUCUGUUUUCCAUGCGUUACUUUAUUUGAUAGAAGGUAACGGCUAACCUUGAAUUAUUAAAAACGCUAUUUAGAUUUUUUUUUCAUUUCACUACCAGCAACGCCACCUAGCUGUUGCAAAUGCAUUAGACAAAAUAAUUGCCAUCUGUUAUCGUUUAGAGUUAACUCAGUGCAAGCAAUGGAAUAGGGUCGUUGCGUGAAGGUUGAAGGGGAUUUCGGUUUUGGUUAAAAAAAUCGUGUAAAAAUAAAUAAAAAAUUUCAUGUGAAAAAUUCAAAAUUAAUGUAUGUUAUUGUGACAUCUCUUGUGUUUUGUAUUUCUCGCGUAAGUCCUCUCAUAAGUCUCAUUAUAAGAAGACCUUGUUUUGUUGUGAAUGUCAUGCAAGUUGAUCAGCGUCUAGAACAUAUUGUACGCGUCGAAUUGGAAUCAAAGUGCUCCUUUAGCCUAACUGUUUCAAUACAUUCAUUUUUGUUUCAUA
rnacentral:lncRNA from 1 species